GACGAACGCUGGCGGCGUGCUUAACACAUGCAAGUCGAACGGAAAGGCCCUGCGUUUGUGGGGUGCUCGAGUGGCGAACGGGGGAGUAACACGUGAGUAACCUGCCCUAGACUUUGGGAUAAGUUCAGGAAAAGGGGGCUAAUACCGGAUAGGAGCUCCUGCUGCAUGGUGAGGGUUGGAAAGUUUCGGCGGUUGGGGCUGGACUCGCGGCUUAUCAGCUUGUUGGUGGGGUAGUGGCUUACCAAGGCUUUGACGGGUAGCCGGCAUGGGAGGGUGACCGGCCACAUUGGGACUGAGAUACGGCCCAGACUCCUACGGGAGGCAGCAGUGGGGAAUAUUGCACAACGGGCGGAAGCCUGAUGCAGCAACGCCGCGUGCGGGAUGACGGCCUUCGGGUUGUAAAACGCUUUCGCCUGAGACGAAGCGUGAGUGACGGUAAUGGGUAAAGAAGCACCGGCUAACUACGUG
rnacentral:rRNA from 1 species